AGCCUGAAGCGAUUGCAGGCAUCACCCCAGUUUUAAACUCAUUUUUGGAAGCAGGUACAGUCAUCCCUUGUGAUGAUUCCCCUGCUAACGCCCCGAUAUCGCCCCGAUACUUUAAUAAGUAUCGCCCUCCUCCAGUCUCUGAGGAAUGGCGCUUUGUCCAAGAUCUGACCUCUGUCAAUGCAGCUGUACAUGCACGUGCUCCAUCUGUCCAAAUCCCUGCACCCUUUUGUCUAAUGUACCACUAACUCUUGGGUGGUUCUCUGUCCUUUAUCUUUCUAAUGCCUUUUUUUCUGUUCCUGUUCACCCAGACUCUCAGUUCUGGUUUGCAUUUCAGUUUAAUGGGUGAGGGUACACCUUCACCCACAUGCCACAGAGCUACUGUGAAUCACCUACAGUUCACAACAGAGCUCUCGCCGACUCUCUCUCCACUUUCUGCCCUACACCAGGUUCUGCCCUUCUGCACAGCUCGAAGCCACAAAGUCAGCAGACAAAAAUUGCAGUUUUCCAGAGAAGAAGUCACGUUCCUUGGACAUGUUGUCUGUGCAGAAGCUUUUGCGUCACAGGUGAGAGGCCGGGCUCCAGACUCUGACAGGCGGUGAAACCACGAGCACUGGCUGAGCCUCUUCCAGGUCCUCCUCACCAUGCAGACCGCAGUCGAGAUUCGUGGGCGAAAUCGCUGGGCGAGCUCCUUGGGUUUGUGCAUCGUGCUGCCAGAGGGUCCCACCCCCAGACCAACAUCGAGCCCCAGACCUGCAGCUCCUGAACAGCGGACUGGCCUGUCCGGCUGCAUCGCCCCGGGGAGAAACGGUGUGAAGUGAAAUAGCGUCCCACUGCAACAGUAGCGUGCCAAGCUCCAACCCUUCAGCCUCACCUUGAAGAAUCCCCGCCCCUGGCAUCCAUUCAGAGUGUUUGGCUGGCCCCUGAGAGGCUCCACCCGCCUCCUCUUCUUCCUAUCCAUCAUCAUCGUGUUCCCCAUUCUCUGGAUACUCGAACCCCCUUCGUCUCCGUCCCCUGCUGCCCCCUCAUUGACCAACUCAACUCCCCUUUCCCCCUUCUCCGAAUGACACCUCCACUGCCCCUCCGUCCAGGCCUCCAAUCGAGCCCCCGCAUCAGCCGCUGAUUCUUCUCCCCCGUCUUGCGUCGACAAAGGCAUUGGUGCAGAGGAUCGCAGUCUCGUUCUACACCUCCACCUUCCCCCUGCCUGUGCAACCCCCCAGGAUUGCGUCCUGGAAUAACACUUCCUGUUUCCACAUGACUGUUCGUUUAUAGGUCCGGCGCCACAAAAGACCCCUUCACUUCCUUCUCCAUCUGUAGCAAUAUUAACACUGUGUCUGAUGUAACUGCUUUGUUUGGUGUUUUGAUUGUUGGUCCACAUUUUACUUCACAGCAUGCUGUUAUUGUUCGUAACAGGGAGCCGACAGUUGAUGAUUGCUUCGAGGUGAUGUCAGGUAUUUCAGGUUCUACUAAUAACUGGCUUCUCUUGGCAGAACAGGUUGGCAGUUCAGCGGACGCUGGUUGUGUUGUUUGCUUGGAUCCCUGGCCACUUUUGAGGAUUGCUCCUCUGCCACCCGCCCUGAGUUUCUACUGCAUGUCCCGUUUGUUGUCUCCCGUUAGCUUCUGGGACGAGGUCCCCUCCCCUCUUUGAUGUUGAUGUUGCUGUAGGUGUGUUUUCUUGUUUUGCUAAUGGUUUUGCAGGUCACAUCCUGGUUGGUCCCUUUAACUCCUCCUGCCUGCCACAGUUGUGUUUGUGUCUCCCAUGGAUCGCCCCGAUGCUCGUCCUGCUUGCCUUAGGCGCUCUGUUGAUGAUUCUUCCUCAGGUCCUACUUAUAUUGAUGCGAUUGCCGUUUCCAAAGGUGUUCCAGAGGUGUUCCAGAGGUGUUCCAGAUGAGUGCAAGCUUGUCGAUCAGGUCGCUGCAGGGUUUGAGUCUGCCCUUUGGUGGUGCACUAUUAUCUAAACUGUUGACCACAUUAAUUACGUUUAUUCUCCGCCGGGUCAGCUGAUCAGAGCUGUUGAUGGCCUGCGCGCACUUAGUUCUAAGUUGGAGGAACAUUUAGGUGUUAAUACAUCAGUAUGGGAUUUUUAGGAGUCCAUUUUUGGGAAAUAUCAGGCCCUUGUUGCUUUAGUUCUUAUGUCCUUAGCUGUGUUUUCCUCUCUUGUCGUCCUCUGUGGGUGUUGCUACAUUCCCUAUAGUCGUGCCCUUCUGAUUUAUAUUUUUGACAUGUUUUUAACAAGGCUUUCAGCAGGAGCGUUCCCCAAUUCGUUUACAGUCCCCUAACUGCAGUGGUGUGUCCCGCCUCGUGUCUGAUUUUGAGCUGGAUUCUGAUCCGGACCAUUUCUCCUCAUCUGGUGAUUAUGAUAAUGGUGAUACAGUUGUUAAUUAUUGUUAUUAUUAUUAUUUUUUUUAAUUAAUAUUAAUUAAUUAAUUCGGCUUCGUUAGUUUUAUUGAUUGAUUGAUUCAUUAGGCCUCAUUGAUUUGACUAGUUUAGGGACAGACUUGUUGAAUUUUAUUGAGUUGGUUGGUCUUUGGUUGAAUUUUUAGAGUUGAUUGGUUUGAUUGGGCUUUGAUUGAUUUUUUUGGUUGAUUUUUUUUUUUUAUCAUGGUUCUGCUGUGGAAUGAGGUCCCAGUGUUUUGCAUUGCUUUUACCGGCUUGUGUUUCAUAGAGUUUGAUUUUGUGUUUUUCUAAUCGUAAUUUUCGCCUUUGUGUUGUUCCUGUUAGGAACAAAGGGGUGGAGUGUGAUGGAAAAUAUACGUUUACGUAUACAUUUCAUCUUUACAAUUAAAUGUGUCUAACCUUUGUGCACAGCCGUGAGGCCACAAGCUUUAUUUUCUUAUUGUCAGGACGCCUUGAUCACAGUGUAUAAACAUUUUGACUUCAUUAGAACAUCUUGUCCAUAUUAGAUAUGGCGCUUACGUUCCUAUCCUAAGUUUCUGAUUAAAGUUGUUUGUAUGGCUCUAUAAAAUACGAAUGUCCUUCAUCACAGGCAGGGCUCUGCAGACCUCUCCUCCAUGCUUGCAAGACGUGUACUUUUCUCUGCUCUGUUUUAAUAAACAUUCUUAAAACCGCUUGACAACAUUUCUUUAUUCCAUCGGAUCCAACUAUUUUUCCACCACAGUGUUCACUUUUAUUUUGAAAACACUAAACGGUCUUGUUUUUUGUAUUUCUUGACCGGAUUUCACCGCAAAAUGAGCCCAUUAGCCAUCAUCAUUCUGUCUGUGGCAAAUUUUGAGGAUAAACGCCUGGGCUACUUGAAGCAGAUACGCAAUGUGCACAUCCAUAUUUGGAAAAAUGUGGAUGUUUGUUGUCGGGUGAAACGCAGACACGCUGCAGAGACCGGCUCUAGGUUGACAUGGUGAAAUGCGCAGCACUCAGAAGGAGCGAGAGGCGGACUCUCAGAUAGUGAGUUGUUUUACUUCAAAGUUGGAAAAGUUUUUUAAAGAUUGACUCAUUUCAUAAAAGAGGUCAAAUAUGAUCAUAUAUAUGGAUAUAGUUUACUCUGGAAGACUUAAGAAAAGCAUCGUAUAGGCCCUGUAAAUGCUGAAUCAGACUGACUUGAACCGAUCAGUAUUUACAGGCAAUGUCUGGCUCCAACAGAGCAGAGUCUGUAUUGAGUAAAGAGGAGGACCUGGUUGCAGACAAGAUGGAGGCUGAAAAUCAUUAGCAGUCCAGAACUGGAAGAGAAAAGCAGUUCUGUGCUGGUAAGCAACACUUUAAAGUGGCUUUUCACAGACAUGCAACACAUUACUGAUAUGAAGUAUUACAAGCCGGCACAAAGCGGCUUUUAUCCACAACAGAAUGAUAAAAGACAAAUAGACCUUUUUAGUAAUGAACACAUUUCUGACAGGAUGGAUGCCACCAGGUGCAAUAUUUGUAAAGAGUAAAACAGUAAUAAACAGAUUUGUUUUCUGAUAUUUUAUUUUUCUCAUGAUUCAGAGGUUUUCCG
ensembl:lncRNA